UUAUUAUGUUUAUUAAAACUUGUUUACAUUCAUUAUACUGAGUUUAUAAAAAGGGGGGUUGAACUGUCCUUCGCAAUUAAGCUGCAGACAGAACAAGAGCACAGGGUGUAUGUGGAUGUGAAGGGACCUGGCAAGCUCUUGCGAGACUUGAACCAAGUAUUUAAAUCACUAGUGAUCCUUCCGCAGGUUCACCUACGGAAA
rnacentral:misc_RNA from 1 species